UAAAAACUACUUGAAACAUUUUUAAAACAAAAGUAAAAACAAAAAGAAAACUAUAAUGAAAAAUCCAAAACUAUUAUAAUCAUGUUGCUCAUUCCGUGAACUGACUAACAAAAAAAAAGCUAAAUUAAUACCACAUUCUAACAAUCACUGAUAAAACACUCGUAUAUCUUUUUUUUUUCGUCAAAUUUCUGAGCGCCAGAACUUAUUCUUGUCGCCAACAUCAAAAAUUCUUCGAGAACUGGGGAUGGGGAAUAAUAAAUACAAAAUGUAAAAUUUUGAAAUUUGAGACGCUUUACACAUGCAUCUCCUGCUGUUUCAAAACAUUCCAAUUUAAAAAUGUUUCACUUAUCUAGGGAAGUACUUACCACAUCCUCAACUUUUUACAAUAAAAUGACCCAAAUCAAGAGAUAUUUUCAAACAUAUUUACCUCCUUCCACAUUUCUCCCGUUUCAAACCAUUCCAACUUCAAAUUGUUUGGCUCAGAUUUUAAUGAACUGGCAAUUUUCAAAUAAAAUUCUGAAACUGAGA